UAAUGGGACAUCAGUAAGAUCAGGCC
rnacentral:piRNA from 1 species